CAGGGAGACAACAAAAUGUUUAAUAUUAUUUUGUCACCUUAGGUCGAUCGGUAUCUCACGUUCUUAAUUUAUUAAGAAUUUCAUUUCCUAAGUUUUUUCUAGGUCACACCCAUUAUUUUUCCUGGGCCAUUAGCUCAGGUGGUUAGAGCGCACCCUGAUAAGGGUGAGGUCCCUGGUUCAAGUCCAGGAUGGCCCAUAUCUCUAUGUUGGGGGUAUAGCUCAGUUGGUAGAGCGCCUGCUUUGCAAGCAGGAUGUCAGCGGUUCGAGUCCGCUUACCUCCACUGAUUACCACCUCUUCCGUAUGUAAAGAAGGGAAAUGUUUUUGAGUUGUGAUCAAAUUCUGAACGAAUCUAGCCUCCUAAUGUGAUCAUUAAGAUGCUGGACUCAUUGAAUUAUUUUCAAUGUUUUCAGAGAACCUUGACAACUGCAUAGAUUAUUUUUAAAGACAAUAAGCAUCUUUAAUGAUGCAGAUUUAUUAUUUGUGCUAAGGCAUUAAUAACAAUUCUAUUAAGCUGAUGCUUCAAUUAUUGAAGUUAUU
rnacentral:tRNA from 1 species